AUGCAAGUCGAACGCUUCUUUCCUCCCGAGUGCUUGCACUCAAUUGGAAAGAGGAGUGGCGGACGGGUGAGUAACACGUGGGUAACCUACCCAUCAGAGGGGGAUAACACUUGGAAACAGGUGCUAAUACCGCAUAACAGUUUAUGCCGCAUGGCAUAAGAGUGAAAGGCGCUUUCGGGUGUCGCUGAUGGAUGGACCCGCGGUGCAUUAGCUAGUUGGUGAGGUAACGGCUCACCAAGGCCACGAUGCAUAGCCGACCUGAGAGGGUGAUCGGCCACACUGGGACUGAGACACGGCCCAGACUCCUACGGGAGGCAGCAGUAGGGAAUCUUCGGCAAUGGACGAAAGUCUGACCGAGCAACGCCGCGUGAGUGAAGAAGGUUUUCGGAUCGUAAAACUCUGUUGUUAGAGAAGAACAAGGACGUUAGUAACUGAACGUCCCCUGACGGUAUCUAACCAGAAAGCCACGGCUAACUACGUGCCAGCAGCCGCGGUAAUACGUAGGUGGCAAGCGUUGUCCGGAUUUAUUGGGCGUAAAGCGAGCGCAGGCGGUUUCUUAAGUCUGAUGUGAAAGCCCCCGGCUCAACCGGGGAGGGUCAUUGGAAACUGGGAGACUUGAGUGCAGAAGAGGAGAGUGGAAUUCCAUGUGUAGCGGUGAAAUGCGUAGAUAUAUGGAGGAACACCAGUGGCGAAGGCGGCUCUCUGGUCUGUAACUGACGCUGAGGCUCGAAAGCGUNNGGAGCAAACAGGAUUAGNUACCCUGGUAGUCCACGCC
rnacentral:rRNA from 1 species